CGGGUUGUACUUACGUAGCAUGGAUACAUUGAACACAUUGUGGACCUUGGAGAGCUCUGGAGGCAGUGUUAGUCUGUAGGCGGCAGUACCAAUCCUGUCUAAGACUUCAUAUGGUCCAAUAAAUCGGGGGUUCAGUUUUUCCCUCCUGCCGAACCUACUAAUUCCUUUGAAAUGAGUGACCUUGAGGAACACCCGGUCGCCUUGUUCAAAU
rnacentral:lncRNA from 1 species